GUAGGUGGCAAGCGUUGUCCGGAAUUAUUGGGCGUAAAGCGCGCGCAGGCGGUCCUUUAAGUCUGAUGUGAAAGCCCACGGCUCAACCGUGGAGGGUCAUUGGAAACUGGGGGACUUGAGUACAGAAGAGGAAAGCGGAAUUCCAAGUGUAGCGGUGAAAUGCGUAGAGAUUUGGAGGAACACCAGUGGCGAAGGCGGCUUUCUGGUCUGUAACUGACGCUGAGGCGCGAAGGCGUGGGGAGCAAACAGGAUUAGAUACCCUGGUAGUCCACGCCGUAAACGAUGAGUGCUAAGUGUUAGGGGGUUUCCCGCCCCCUUAGUGCUGCAGCUAACGCAUUAAGCACUCCGCCUGGGGAGUACGGCCGCAAGGCUG
rnacentral:rRNA from 1 species